rnacentral:rRNA from 1 species
AUGCUCGUGGUCAACCACUUCUCCAACUUACACUCUGAGAAUUUACACUGGCUCAACUCGGCGAGCAUUGCUCUCAUUCCAAAGAAGGAUGGGGCUGAAUCCAUCUCGGACUUUCGCCCCAUUAGCCUCAUCCAAACUAUUGCGGAGAUAAUUAAGAUGAUGGCUACCCGGAUGGCACCCCAUAUGCACGAUCUUGUCUCAAAUGCCAAAAGCACCUUCAUAAAAAAGAGAAGUAUCCACGACAACUUCAUGUAUGCCAGAAACUUGGUGAGAAAAUUGCAUCGAAAAAAUAGCCCGACUCCUCUAUUCAAGCUUGAUAUCAAGAAGGCCUUUGACUCUAUGUGUUGGGACUUUCUCAUGGAUCUUCUCCAACAUCUUUGCUUCCCGGUCAGAUUCCGAGAUUGGGUUGCGGCUCUGCUGUCCACCGCCACCUCGAGAGUGUUGAUUGAUACGUCUCCAACGUAUCUAUAA